AUGGCAGCUGUGUGCCAUCCGCGUCGUGCCCUGGUGGAGAUCCCGGCACCCCAGCCGAAGAUCGCCGCGAAGUUGAGACGCUCGUACUUUGAGAUCCUCAGUAGUCGUUUGGCGUCUUCACCUGCAGUCCCGAGGGGCCCAAGAACCUCAAACACCCCCAGGAGACCACACUAUUUCGACUCGUCGUCGGGCAGCCCAUGGGGAGGUGGGACGGACGAGCCGUGUGAGCCAAUCGACGAGCAGCAGCGCACGGCGCUGUCCAAUCAGCAGCUGGCUCAGCUUAUCCGCUCCCUGGGCCUGGUAGAACAGAGCCAGGAGCCCCGCCUCCUGACCUUUGACCUCAAGUAUCUCCAGGACAGCCUCCAGCUGCAGAAGGCCAACGUGUUCCGCUCUAUCCCCUACUCGCGCUUCGGCUCCAAUCGCGACGCCCACUGCUACCGCAAGGCCUACCCCCACCUGCUCGCCUUCAAGGUGUCGUGUCAUGAGUGGGGCCAGGUGCUGCUGCGUGGCUCCCAGUGGGCCUCGGCGCUGGAGUACGCCCUGAUGGCGUGGCGCUACGCGGGUGAGCUGCCGCGCUGGGACACGCCCGGACACAACGCACUCAGGGACCAGUGCUUCGCCUCGCUAGCCGCCGUCUGCCUCGCCGCCCUGCGUCACCAAGGCGACGUCGCCAAGGGCCCCGCCCAGGGACAUCAGCUGCUGCGGAGGCUAAGAAUGGCGGCGCACCAUAGUCAGGCCAUCAUGCCCUGCAUACAGGAACUGGAGAGGAUUCUAGAACCCAGUGGGGACCCUGCCAUGGAAAGGCAGUGAAGAACUACAAAUCCCAGAGGAACACUAGGGACCAACUGGAUUGGUUUACUGUAACCAACUGAAAAGAGGGAAUGGAUUGGUGCUUUCUCUUGUGUUAUUGUGUUUUUUUUGGGAGGUUGAAAAAAAGCCACUACAGUAUUCCGAUUGUAAAUUUGUGUGUCGCAACGGUACAAUUCGGGUCGGAUUCAGUGUUGGUAAUUCUUUUAGAAGUAAGCAUCGCUCAGCAUGGAUUUUUUGAGUACAAAGUCAUUUUUGCAGAAGAAUAAUGGUAAUCCAUAUUUUCGUGCGUGUGUGUGUGUGUGUGCGCGUGUGUGUGUGUGUGGGGGGGGGGUUUCUGCGUUCUGAUUCCCUUGACGAUAUCCACAUAACUUGAAACUACACUCCGGUCUGUCGGUUUAUGUAUAUAUACUUUUCGUCAUGAUUUUAUAGUCUGACGUAACUGUUUGCACUGUAAGCCUUUUCACCUAAAAAAACUUGAAAUAUCUUUUCUAUGAAUAAACGUAUUUAAAUUAAUAUUGGAA
rnacentral:lncRNA from 1 species